rnacentral:rRNA from 1 species
CACUUUCAGCAAUGGAUCUCUUGGUUCUCGCAUCGAUGAAGAACGCAGCGAAUCGCGAUAAGUAAUGUGAAUUGCAGAUUUUCAGUGAAUCAUCGAAUCUUUGAACGCACCUUGCGCCCCUUGGUAUUCCGAGGGGCAUGCCUGUUUGAGUGUCAUU